AAAAUCCCUCAAUUUACAGCAACCGUGACGAGCGCAACAAUAGUUACCGGGUAUACAGAUCACUUGGAAGCCUCGAUAUUACAGCGUCUUAAGUACAACCCAGACUUCGUAAUGCUCUGGUUAUUUCACUUGCUCUUUGGAAAACAUCUUUGGUUUUUGGGUUGAAAGUUAACACAGACGGGUCUGUGUUGAGUAAUCCUCCUUCUGCUACUUGUGGAGAAAUUUUUCAUGACAAUUUGGCUUCUUUUAAGGAUUGUUUUGCGCAGAUCUUUGUCAUCA
rnacentral:lncRNA from 1 species